rnacentral:rRNA from 1 species
ACAUAUAUAUAUAUAUAUAUAAGAGCACCGGUUGUCAUCUGAACACCAAAGUUAAGCAAUGUCGAGCCUAGUGAGUACUUAGAUGGGUGACCGCUUGGGAAACCUAGGUGCUGUAAGCG